AUGGCCGGCGGCCCGUUAGCGCGAGCAAAGCCACGGCCACAGCAGUACGACGAUGACCAGCAGCUCGACGACCGGCAGUUCGACGAGCUGUGUCAGCAAUACGCGCCCUCGCAUCUUCGCCCGUGGGCGGCCGCCGCGCCGGCCAUCGCUCAGAAGACGAUCCUCGAGAUCCGUUUCGACAAGGGCUACCAGGAGUUCUCGGACGGCACCAGCUACAACGGCGUCGGGGUGGACGACGCGACAAAGACCGCAAGUGGCGCUGAGACGAGGAUGAGUCGUCGGAUGAGGAACAAGCUGGCCCGUGCUGCUGUCUAA
rnacentral:rRNA from 1 species